rnacentral:rRNA from 1 species
AUUGAACGCUGGCGGCAGGCCUAACACAUGCAAGUCGAACGAGUGGCGGACGGGUGAGUAAUGUCUGGGAAACUGCCUGAUGGAGGGGGAUAACUACUGGAAACGGUAGCUAAUACCGCAUACCAUCAGAUGUGCCCAGAGGGGAGUAGCUAGUUGGUGGGGUAACGGCUUACAAAGGCGACGAUCCCUAGCUGGUCUGAGCGGAUGACCAGCCACACUGGAACUGAGAUACGGUCCCACCUCCGACGGGAGGCAGCAGUGGGGAAUAUUGCACAAUGGGCGCAAGCCUGAUGCAGCCAUGCCGGGUGUAUGAAGAAGGCCUUCGGGUUGUAAAGUACUUUCAGCGGGGAGGCGUUACCCGCAGAAGAAGCACCGGCUAACUCCGUGCCAGCAGCCGCGGUAAUUC